rnacentral:lncRNA from 1 species
AGUUUCUCGGAGAGGCUUCUGGUAAAAGGCUGGAUUUGGAGAUUCUCUGUUGGUAAAAGGAAAUCUCACGUGUGCCCUCCUCAAAGUUAGGACUGAGGGGCGCUGGCGAAGAGCGAAGGGAAGCUGCCUCCCUGGGGACUCGGAUGCGCGCUUGCAGUCAUCACAAGCAAUUGAGUAUCCACAGAUUUGGUCAAUUUAAUAAAAAAUAGGCCAGGGAGAUAAUGAGUGUUUUCUAAAAUAGUUUUAAAUCUAUCGCUAUGUGAACUCAGGUUUUUAGUUUGAAACCAUCAUUUUCUUUCUUUUUUGUUUGCUUUCCAUUAUGUCCCACUUUGCUCAGGGUUCUGUGGCCCCAGCUCAGGGCUGACAUCAUGACUGAUGGUUGUGCACAAAAGAAACGGCAGACCAACGCGUCCUGUGCCAAAGCUGGAGGGG